rnacentral:rRNA from 1 species
CCUACGGGAGGCAGCAGUGGGGAAUAUUGGGCAAUGGGCGCAAGCCUGACCCAGCAACGCCGCGUGAAGGACGAAGGCUUUCGGGUUGUAAACUUCUUUUGACAGGGAAGCGCAGAAGACGGUACCUGUCGAAUAAGCCACGGCUAACUACGUGCCAGCAGCCGCGGGCAUACGUAGGUGGCAAGCGUUGUCCGGAUUUAGUGGGUGUAAAGGGCGUGUAGGCGGGCUGACUAGGCAGACGGUAAAUGCGAGGGCUCAAACGCCGGACUGCCUUGGAAACUGUUGGUCUUGUGUAGCGGAGAGGUAGGCGGAAUGCGUAGUGUAGCGGUGCAAUGCUGAGA